UUGGUCAGCCGGCGUCCGGGAUGGGAGCGCUCCUGCAUUUUCCAUGACUGCGGGGCCUGUUCCUUGCGCCUGUCUGGUCGCGUCACAUCAUGGAGGGUUUCUCGGGGCGGCCGGCCGACUCUGAGCACAGCCGGGGUGGUGUUUGCAGCACAGCUGCUGCCUAGGCCUUGCUGCGGAGGUGCUGGGCCACGGCCCCGUGGGGGCAGAUCUGUGGGGCCAUCGGCAUGUCCUUUGAAAACGGGCAUUUCCCCAAGUCAUUCAGGUGGAGGGGAGAGCGAAGCCAAAUGGGACACCGGCCCCCCCACACUGCCCCGGCUCCUGCAUUUCCAGAGAUGGAAACGUGGAAAGUAGCUGGGAAUGGCUCAUGAUUGCCUGAACCAUACAAAGGCUGGCACUGAUCUUGAAAAUGUGAGUUGGACUGCGUCAUCCCCGCCCCUGCCUCAAAUCCCCUCCGUGGUUGCCUACAGCACAGCUUCAAGCUCCUGGGUUCUGCUUCCCGGACCUGCAGCGCUGGCCCCAGCCUGGCCGAGAGAGCGUUUGUUCACCCAAGACCUUUCUCCUCCUGCCCUCGUGGAGCCUCCACACGGAGUAAACAACGACUUCUCUGAGCCUUGAUCGCUCUGUUUGUAAAAUGCAGAGAAAACGCCUUCCUAGCUGAGCAGGAGGAUUGGGGGCCGCCGCCUGCUCAGCCCGGGCCUGGGUGCAGGCACAGGAAGUGUCUUUCUUCUGCUCUGUGAGCCCAUCUUCUCAAGCAUGGGUCCAUGCUUUCUCCAUUCCAGCGUCCCUCACAGCAUCAACUCUAUGCCUUGCAGACAGCGGACACGUAAUACAGCCACGCAGCGUGAACCUGAGCAGACCUCUCUUUUCCAGGAUGUGCACGGUGUCCAUGACAGUGCCCACCGCAAGCCUGAUGGCCUCACCAGAGACGUAAAGCAGAUGCCAGGAAACGUCCCCCAAACGGGCUGGCUUGCUAAGCCCAGGACCGCCUGUCCAGCUGGGGCUGGGGGCAAGGAUCCCAUUUUCUGUGGCUCUUUUUGCUCUGAUGGUCAGGUUCGCCGGCUGUACGUGUAAUCUGAAGCAUUCGGUAGCGAUCUAAUUAAAUGUUAACACAUCAUUAAAGUGAUUUGCGAUAA